AAUGAUGAUGGACACCGGGAAGCGAUCCGCUACUCUCAGUAGUGAAAGUAAACAGAUGAGAGUAUCUGAUUUAAUUCAAACAAGUUCAAGUACAAAAAACUGCAACUUCAUCAACAAUUAAUUAUGGCACGAAGGAAGAGAAAACUACUACUCAAAGCUGGUGUGAAGGGGGACGAAAAUCCCCCAUCAUCCUUUGAGGAAGAAGUGAGAAUUUGGGGGCAAACGUUUUAUUUGGAAUUUAUUUACGUGUUUAUAUUUUUAAUAUUUUGACAUUUAUUAUCUUGAAUUUAAUAUGUAGUGAUGUAUGCGGCAUACAUUAUAAAUUAUUCGUGAAUUAUUCAUACUUGGAUUUGAGUAAAUAAAUAAUACAUGAUUAUGUUAUAACCUGUAACUGUAUGUACCCCCACCUGGUUGGGAUGAUGGGUCGUCGUCACCUUUUUUAUCGUCAUCUGUACCUCGAGUUUCUCUGUCCACUGCAAGAUCCAAACCAAAAACAAAACGUGGAGGACGGCCUGCUAAAACAAAAUUAGAUGAAACAACAAGCAGCUUGAUCUCUGUCCCCUCUUCCAAUAAGAAUGAUUCAAAAACAUCACAAUCUUUCGCCACUGGAUCUGAUUGCAGGAGUUCCUCUCCAAAGUGUAUCAUUUGUAAAAUUGACAUUUCUAGUAUGAAGAUGCAUCGUGAGAGAUUGUACCAGAAACAGGUUCAAGAUUGGAAACAUAUAAUGCUAACGAAUGAAGGAGUAUCGAGCACCAUCAACACCAACAGUGCUGAACCUUGUGAAUCAUGUUUCAAGGAAUUUGUACUUGAAUCUUGGAAUAUUUCGGAACAAAUUAACAAUUUGCAACUUAUACUGAAAGAGCUAACUAAAAGAGUGAUAGAUAAUCAGGAUAGAUGUGUGUAUUACUUAUAUAUUUUGCAGUUAUUCCUAUUUUUUGCAGGGAAGAGAAAAUCGAAACAAUUCAAAGUUGGAAAAAUGUGGGGUGGAGGACGAGGAUCAAGCUUUAGAUUCGUCAUCUUCUGACACAGAGUACUCAUCAGACUCGGAAUACGAUCCGUUGGAAGACUUGAAAGCAAGAAAGUCGAAAAAUAGGAGAAUUAGACAACCAAAAAUUCUGACUAAACCCAAAACCAAAUUCAACAGAACUGUUGGCAGUGGAGGGAUCAAUAAUAAAAACUCCACACAAAAUAAUAUUAUCAAGCUGGAACCAGUAAUGUCGGACAGGAAAGGAGAGAAUUCACCAUCAGUUGAAGUUACCGAACCACUUAAUCUCACUAAAUUUCUGGUUGGUCAAAGUCAAAAGUCAAGUUGGAGGAAACCACAAAUGUUGACGUAACUUUCAAGAUGCCACUCAUAAUACCUGGAUACGAAGCAGUUUGCUCCCACUGCGGUACCAUCAGCCGAAAUCUUGAACAUUGUGAAUUUUGUCGAACUUUACUUUUGAAAAAUGCCAAAAUUCUAAAAGUUGGGACACGAGUUUGUCAUUUGAAAUCUGACUUGGAUUUGAAAUCAAUGAAAUUCCCAGAAGAUUCUCCCCCAUCUGAAAAUGUGCCAUCUCUUAAUAUCCGAAUUAAGGACGAAUUGGCUAAUGAUAGCUCUGACGACGAGAACUCAGCAGAAAUGCCCUUGAUCCAAAUAAGAAAAAUUGAAUCAUUAUUAGACAAA